UCAGUGUCAAGACUCGUGUCUGCAGCAUCUUCCUCAAAGUUUGUCGGGAAGAAAAAGGAGGCCAGAUCUUGGAGGAGCAGGGUGGUCUUCAGAAACUGGAUUCAGAGUUGUCUUUGCACAAGUCCUUAGAUAUGGAGCAUUUGAUCUGUUCUUCCAACAUGUUUACAGUUUUGAAAUGAGAGGAAAAAACACACACAAAAAAAAAGGAAGAAAAAGAAGUGUUAUCAAGCUAAACCAAUAUGUGGGGAGUAAAAAAACGGGGAGAAGCAAAAGCAAGAAAGAGGAAGGAACUGAGAAAGUGAAAAUUACGUUUAAAAGUAAUAAUCUCCCAACACAUGACGCCUGGUGGGGAAAGUCAAUGACUUUGCACGCUGAGGUGCAUCUCUGUGUGCUGCGGAUGGCAAAGCUGGAUAUAUUUUGCUGACUGGCUCUGUCUCAUCCCCCCUUCCUCCUCACCUGGCCAUCCGGAAAAGGAGAUGUUAUCUGAGGUGUUAUCUGAGAGGGACGGCACAGGCUUAUUUUGUAGCACAGAGACCAAGAGAAAUACAAGGUUUUCCUCUCUGGCUGAUGAGCAGGGACCAAACGUACCCAUUCUCUAGCAGGGUGCUCCCUCUCUCGUGCGCAGACUUUCUGAGUUGUGAGCAAGUACACCAAAGUCUUAGUUUUUCUACCUGAAUGCUUAUGAGAAGAAGUGAUAUCCAAUGGAGUGUAGCUAGCAUUUAUCUUAAAAACACCAACAGAGAGAAAUCUUUGCCAUGAUGGUGGUGGCCCCUCCACCGCUGCGCACCCAUGCCAUCAGGUGCGGCAUCCCAGUGCAGUGAGGAAACACCUCUCUCUGCACUCCCGCUGCUCAGUGUCCGCACACCUCGGCCAGCCCUGGACUGGGGUUUGUGUCCCAGAGCGGCUCAUGCCACCAGACUGGGAUUGCCCAGACUGGACCCAGCAGAAGACCCUGUCGCAGGCCUCUCCCAGCGGCACGGUGGCUUGGUGCAAGAAAGGUCGAAACAGUCAUCGGUGCAAGAGGAAGGCAAGCCGUCCUCGUGGGCUGGUGUGGAGAGCAUCACGGGGACGGCUGGGUGCCAGCGGGAGCGGAGCGACAGAGAACGCAGUGGUGGCCCACUGGUCCUCCCUCUCUACCCCACCUCCAGACUGUGCGAGAACCAAGGAUGAUCAACAGCGUUCAUUGAGCUGUGCUCCUGAUACGGAUCCUUGCAUGAAUUUCACGAAGCGGGGAAAAUGGACAACCCUGCUGGUAGCUUGUGAGCCCUUGUCACAGAACUGAGCUUGAACAAUUUCGAUUAAAGCUGUAUGUUCGAGACUGUCAUUAGACCUGCAUUAAAUUACAUAUCUGGAAUGUUAAAAAUAAAGAGUACUGAAGCUUAUUCACAGCUGCCUG